rnacentral:rRNA from 1 species
UCCAGACUCCUACGGGAGGCAGCAGUCGGGAAUCUUCCACCAUGGACGAAAUUCUGCUGGAGCAACGCCGCGUGAGUGACGACGGGUUUCGGCUCUUCCCGCUCUGUUGGUCUUGAAGAAAGCUCGCGGUAGUAACUUUCCUUUAUUUGCCUUUCCUUACUUAUCCCUUCACGGCUACCUCCUUGCCAGCAUCCUCGGUAAUACGUCGGUUUCAAGCGUUGUCCGGAUUUAUUGGGCGUAAAGCGAGUGCAGGCGGUUCAAUAAGUCUGAGGUGAAAGCCUUCGGCGCAACCGGAGAAUUGCAUCAGAAACUGUUGAACUUGAGUGCAGAAGAGGAGAGUGGAACUCCAUGUGUAGCGGUGGAAUGCGUAGAGAGAGGGAAGAACACCAGUGGCGAAGGCGGCUCUCUGGUCUGCAACUGACGCUGAGGCUCGAAAGCAUGGGUAGCGAACAGGAUUAGAUACCCCCGUAA